AUGAACAUUGAUUUUAAUUCUAAUUUUAAUUAGAAUGAUUCAGAGGUUCGCAUGGCCUCUGCACAGAAAUGACAUGUAAAUUUGUGAUGCAUUCCAUAUUUUU
ensembl:snRNA U6 U6 spliceosomal RNA